GACGAACGCUGGCGGCGUGCCUAAUACGUGCAAGUCGAACGCAUUUUCUUUCACCGUAGCUUGCUACACCGAAAGAAAAUGAGUGGCGAACGGGUGAGUAACACGUGGGUAACCUGCCCAUCAGCGGGGGAUAACACUUGGAAACAGGUGCUAAUACCGCAUAAUUCCAUUUACCGCAUGGUAAAUGGAUGAAAGGCGCUUUUGCGUCACUGAUGGAUGGACCCGCGGUGCAUUAGCUAGUUGGUGGGGUAACGGCCUACCAAGGCUGCGAUGCAUAGCCGACCUGAGAGGGUGAUCGGCCACACUGGGACUGAGACACGGCCCAGACUCCUACGGGAGGCAGCAGUAGGGAAUCUUCGGCAAUGGACGCAAGUCUGACCGAGCAACGCCGCGUGAGUGAAGAAGGUUUUCGGAUCGUAAAACUCUGUUGUUAGAGAAGAACAAGGAUGAGAGUGGAAAGUUCAUCCCUUGACGGUAUCUAACCAGAAAGCCACGGCUAACUACGUG
rnacentral:rRNA from 1 species